rnacentral:rRNA from 1 species
GAUUAGCCUGCGUCCGAUUAGCUAGUUGGUAGGGUAAAGGCCUACCAAGGCGACGAUCGGUAGCUGGUCUGAGAGGAUGGCCAGCCACACUGGAACUGAGACACGGUCCAGACUCCUACGGGAGGCAGCAGUGGGGAAUAUUGGACAAUGGGGGCAACCCUGAUCCAGCAAUGCCGCGUGUGUGAAGAAGGCCUGAGGGUUGUAAAGCACUUUCAGUGGGGAGGAGGACUGACAGGUUAAGAGCUGGUUAGUUGGACGUUACCCACAGAAGAAGCACCGGCUAACUCCGUGCCAGCAGCCGCGGUAAUACGGAGGGUGCGAGCGUUAAUCGGAAUUACUGGGCGUAAAGGGUGCGUAGGUGGUUUGAUAAGUUAUCUGUAAAAGCCCUGGGCUCAACCUGGGAAGGCCAGAUAAUACUGUUGAACUGGAGUAUGGGAGAGGGUAGUGGAAUUUCCGGUGUAGCGGUGAAAUGCGUAGAGAUCGGAAGGAACACCAGUGGCGAAGGCGGCUACCUGGCCUGAUACUGACACUGAAGCACGAAAGCGUGGGGAGCAAACAGGAUUAGAUACCCUGGUAGUCCACGCUGUAAACGAUGUCAACUAGCUGUUGG